rnacentral:rRNA from 1 species
GAUGAACGCUGGCGGCGUGCUUAACACAUGCAAGUCGAACGAAGCAACUGGACGGAAAUUUUCGGAUGGAAGACCAGUUGACUGAGUGGCGGACGGGUGAGUAACGCGUGGGCAACCUGCCUCAUACAGGGGGAUAACAGUUAGAAAUGACUGCUAAUACCGCAUAAGCGCACAGAAUCGCAUGAUUCAGUGUGAAAAACUCCGGUGGUAUGAGAUGGAUCCGCGUCUGAUUAGCUAGUUGGAGGGGUAACGGCCCACCAAGGCAACGAUCAGUAGCCGGCCUGAGAGGGCGACCGGCCACAUUGGGACUGAGACACGGCCCAAACUCCUACGGGAGGCAGCAGUGGGGAAUAUUGCACAAUGGGGGAAACCCUGAUGCAGCGACGCCGCGUGAGCGAAGAAGUAUUUCGGUAUGUAAAGCUCUAUCAGCAGGGAAGAAAAUGACGGUACCUGACUAAGAAGCCCCGGCUAACUACGUGCCAGCAGCCGCCGUAAAAC